rnacentral:rRNA from 1 species
CCUACGGGAGGCAGCAGUGAGGAAUAUUGGUCAAUGGGCGAGAGCCUGAACCAGCCAAGUCGCGUGAAGGAUGACGGCCCUACGGGUUGUAAACUUCUUUUGUCAGGGAGCAAUUGGGUCCACGCGUGGGCUUAGCGAGAGUACCUGAAGAAAAAGCAUCGGAUAACUCCGUGCCAGCAGCCGCGGUAAUACGGAGGAUGCGAGCGAUCACCGGAUUUAUGGGGUUUAAAGGGUGCGUAGGCGGAAUAUCAAGUCAGCGGUAAAAAUUCGGGGCUAAACCCCGUCGUGCCGUUGAAACUGAUGUUCUGGAGUGGGCAAGAAGUAUGCGGAAUGCGUGGUGUAGCGGUGAAAUGCAUAGAUAUCACGCAGAACUCCGAUUGCGAAGGCAGCUUACGAAUCUAUAUCUGACGUUGAGGCACGAAAGCGUGGGGAGCAAACAGGAUUAGAUACCCUUGUAGUC